rnacentral:lncRNA from 1 species
CCCAGUUGCUCUCGGGCUGAAGUUCAAGGUGCUGCAAGAUCUGGUCACUGCUUGACCCACUGAUUUGUCUAGAGUCCCCAUCUCUUCAGCUUCCAGGACUUUUGGGAAAAAGCUGGAGAAUCACUUGGCAUACCUUCUGGGACCCAAAUCCCUCAUACUGCCUGUCCCACCUAUUGAAGUACAAAUUGGUCUGAGGUGUACCUCAAAAGGCAAGAUCUGUCCCCUGUCUGAUGAAAUUUGCAGAGAAUUAGGUAUUUCUCAGAAGCAUUGAGGCCGUGCAGCUUCUAGCUGGGAAACGAGUAGGGGGAGAAGAGGAGCAGUUUCUCCUGGCGUCGCCUGAGAAGGGUGCGUAGCCCAAGUAAAUCGCCACAGCUAGAGAA